UACAGAGGGGGCAAGCGUUGUUCGGAAUUACUGGGCGUAAAGGGCGCGUAGGCGGCCGCCUAAGUCAGACGUGAAAUCCCUCGGCUCAACCGGGGAACUGCGUCUGAUACUGGGUGGCUUGAAUUCGGGAGAGGGAUGCGGAAUUCCAGGUGUAGCGGUGAAAUGCGUAGAUAUCUGGAGGAACACCGGUGGCGAAGGCGGCAUCCUGGACCGAGAUUGACGCUGAGGCGC
rnacentral:rRNA from 1 species